rnacentral:rRNA from 1 species
AUUGAACGCUGGCGGCAGGCCUAACACAUGCAAGUCGAACGAGUGGCGGACGGGUGAGUAAUGUCUGGGAAACUGCCUGAUAGAGGGGGCUAACUACUGGAAACGGUAGCUAAUACCGCAUACCCUCAGAUGUGCCCAGAUGGGAUUAGCUGGUUGGUGGGGUAACGGCUCACCAAGGUGCCGAUCCCUAGCUGGUGUGAGAGGAUGACCUGCAACACUGGAACUCGGACACGGUCCAGAUUCUGACGGGAGGCACAAGUGGGGACUAUUGGAAAAUGAGGUCGAGCCGGAUGCGGCCCAGCCGGGUAUAUGAUGAAGGCCUUCGGGUUAUAAAGUACUUUGUGCGGUGAGGCGUUACGCGCAGAAGAAGCACCGGCUAACUCCGUGCCAGCCGCCGCGGUAAAC